rnacentral:sRNA from 1 species
UCCGAGAGGACCGGGCGGAUCGCCUCGC